UUCCUGUUAUGAUAAAGAAGAAUUAUUUUUGUUCGGUGUAAAGGAUAGUAUGAAUAUCGACUUUUCGUCUUGAUGAUACUUUGGGCAAGGAUAGUAAUAUAAUGUGUGGUAACGCACUAGGAGGCAACAAAAAUGGAACAAGGUACAGUUAAAUGGUUUAAUGCAGAUAAAGGUUUUGGCUUUAUCGAACGUGCAAAUGGAGACGAUGUAUUCGUACACUUCUCUGCAAUCCAAAGUGAUGGAUUCAAAUCUUUAGACGAAGGUCAAAAAGUAACGUUUGACGUUGAGCAAGGUCCUCGUGGAGCUCAAGCUGCUAACGUUCAAAAAGUUGCUUAAUCUUAAAUCAUUGAUAAAAACAGGCUCUUUAUAUAAAGAGCCUGUUUUU
rfam:Bacillus badius strain MTCC 1458 Contig26, whole genome shotgun sequence.